UCUCUCUCUCUCUCUCUCUCUCGGCAACUGCUACAUGUCCCGGCGAUUAUCAUUAUAAAACAAACGAGUAAGACCUGUUUUAUACAAUCACCCUCCACUUAUAGACCAACAAGAAGAGAAUCGUGGACUACCCCAACAUCUGGGCCUACACAAGAGACAUUUUCCAGCUUCCCGGUGUGGCUGAGACUGUGGACCAAGAACACAUCAUGAAAACCUAUUACGAAAAUGACAAAGAAAUCAACCCUGCAGGAAUCAUCCCAGUCGGACCUCAAGUGGACAUGAAGGCGCCGCAUAGUAGAGAAAGAUUGGCUUGAGAUUUUCGCGGAGGACAACUUAAGAAGGGCUCCACUCUUUUUGGUGAAAUCCUGGUGAAUUCAGUGAUGAAUACUACAUCGUAUACACAUAACAGACUAUAUAUUAUAAUGCAUAAACGCACAUAUUUUAUAUAAGAUACAAAAUAGUAUUAUAUAACAGACAUUUCAUAUUAUAUAUACUAAUACAUAGAUGUAUAAAAUAUGUAUAUCGUGUGUUUCUUCUUAAUACAUGUGUAUAUAAUGCAUAUUUUGGUACGAAGUGUAUUCUCCUUUCUCUCGAAUCGUUGACUUGAAAAAAAAAUGAAAAAACGAAGACCAAAAAACAAACAAGACAAAACUGCGAAUUCUUUUGACGUGACAAUACAACAUAAUAUGAAUGCUAAAGUAUCACCUUCAUUAUUUUGUUUAGCGGUUUGAUUUCAGUGUUUGAACCUUUUUUGCGACUUGGUAAUAAACUAAUUGGUCUGUUUCU